AAAAUGAAGUGAAGAAAUAAUAGAGAAAAUCUUGAGGCUCUCUCUCCAAUCCACAAAAAAUUCUCUCACAUAGAUUUCCAUCACUCUCUCACGCUUCCUACACGUCUCUCUCAUCACUCUCCACUACACUCACGUUUCCUCUCACACUCACAUCAAAUGACGUCCCCUUUGCUCUCUCUCCACUCAAUACUCACACUCACAACAAAGAGGCUACUCUCACAAAAACUAAAGUCUCUCUCUGGACCUCCUUUUUCAAAAAACGAAAAGAAAACUUUCCAUCUGCUUUGAAGAAAAAGCUGAUUUUCUUGAAACUCAACCUACACAAACCGCUAUUCAUCAAGCUUCCUCUUUUCCACCAUGUAAAAAACAUGUAUCCAUCCAUAACUCUUUUCCUCCUUCAACAACAUACUCCAUAUAACAACCUAAGAAAAAAAACAUGACCAUUCAACACCUUUCAAACCAAACCCCAUCCAUCUCUUCAACAGAACCAACCACUCUCACACAACCUUAACCUCGCCACCUUAAAACAACUCGCUUCGGCGAGCCUCAAACCACCGCGAAUAACCUCCAAAGCUCCUCCGCCAUCACCGGCGAACUAAACACCGAACACCCACCCAUAACUUCCAUCACCGAGAAACCCUCCAACUACCAUAGCCACUGUUGGAAAACAACGUUAACCACACAAACGAAACUGACGCGUCACCGCAUCUCCACAACUCUUCAACCGUCUCGCCGACGAUUCUCACAAUCAAACACUCACCAUCACAACCACCAAAAUUCCUUUGUUUUGCGUUUCCUCCGUCUUCAUCUUAACCGCCGGCAUAAACUUACUCUCGUUUCCGCUCGCCCUCAACCGUGAAACAACCAUACGCAUCCCUUCUGUUGUCAACGUGACUACUCAAAAGCGGAUCUGUGACGGUGCGGUUAGGUAUGGACAAAGAUGUCUACGGCUUCUAAACCCACAAUUGGAACAUACCGAAUACGUUGAAGGAGAAUGUGUUGAAGGAAAGGGAAUACAGUCCGUUGAAAGCUCGAAAAAAAAAAGCUACAGCCGAACUUCGGUAACAAUGUUACGAUGACGGUAAAUUUUGAACUUACUGUUGCUCCAUAUUGGUUUCGGUUUGAUUCUGUUGUAUUGCUGGAUGUUUGUGUAUGUGGUUAUUCCAAUUUCACAGUAUUUUCUUAUUCGACUUUGUGUGGUGUUUAAUCAUUUAUGUUGAAGUUAAUUAAGUAUAUUAUGUUGGAUAUCUUUUAAGGUCACGGUUGGUAUUCUGGUUUUAAUAAUAGUAUUUGGUGGCUUAGGUUCCAUUUAAAAUAAGUGGAUGACUUCUAAAGUUGGCAUGCUGUUUUUAAUAAUAGUAUUUGGUGGUUUAUGUUCCAUUUAAAAUAAGUGAAUGACUUCUAAAGUUGGCAUGUUGUUUUUAAUAAUUUCGUUUGAUAGCUUAUGUUCCAUUUAAAAUAAGUGGAUGACUUCUAAAGUUGGCAUGCUGUUUUUAAUAAUUUCAUUUGAUAGCUUAUGUUCAUGUUAACUUAAGUGGAUGAGUUCUAAAUUUGCUGGAACCUAUUGCUAGUUGUUUUAUCAUGUUGGUUUCAAUGUAAUUCUUUUUUUUUUCAAAAUUGCAAAAUAAUUACUGGAUGAUUGUUAUUUGAUUGUAAUUACGAACUUGGAUCCGUUGAUCAUCUUGUUGGUCAUGCCAAUUAUUAUUAUUUUUUUAAGCUGAAGUUGUUAUUGUUAGAAAAUACUUGGUGAACUAGCUUGUAGCAUGUUAAGUUUCUUAUGGUAAUGCAAUAAUAGGGUGUACUGCUAUUUGAUUUGUAUGGACAAUGUUUGCUAGAUUAUAUGGUGAUUGUCACUUAACACAUUCCUCCUCCUCUUAUUUUAAUUCACAUUGGAAUUUGUUUGAUUUUUUUCCCUCUCAAUUUGUUUGUAAGAUGUGUUAUUGGGGAAUUAAGAAUUGUUUGUUCAUAAGUAGGGAGAGGAAGACCUGCAUUUGUUUUAACCUUUUUUUAUUUAUUUUUUAUUUUUUUGUAAAUAAUAUUGGGUUCGUGUUGAUUUUUAUUUCUCAUUGCGUUGAAUAAAUUGGAUUCCUUCUAUUCAAUGGAUUCGACAAUUUCAUGUCGUUAUACCACCAAAGAUUACAAUACAUCAAUAUGAUACUUCACCGCAUUAUGAUUUUGCGAAUGACAUUAAAUAAACCGGUUUGAGCACACGGAUUCAAUUAAUUAAAGCGACACCGUCACUUAAUUAUUUCUCUUUAAUUUUGUUAAUUAAAAAUGGACCGACUUGUCCCAUCAUCAAUUCAUAAUUAUUGCAAACAAAUUCAAUUUCAUUCGAGUCCAUCAUCAAUCCAAACCAAUUUCAAAAAAACACAAAUCACACAAGUCUGGAUUUAACAUCCAGCCCAUUUUCUAAACACCCUUGUAAGUCGAUAGCUUUUAGCAUUGCCAUAAACCUCACAUAGCUUACUCUUGGGCUUUCUUACAAUGAGACCUAUUCGAUUUUAAUUAAUUGAGUAGAUGAUCGAUUCACUAAAUAAAAUUCAUUUCAUUCAUAAACACCAAUUUAAAACCUCUAUCCAACGUCGAGUAUUUUUUAUCCAAAUCAAAUUAAAAUACCCAAUCACAAUCAAAUACCAUUUCAUUUUGGAAAUGAAAAGUGUUGGUGUAAGCCCUAGAGGCCAAUAUUUUUGGUACUUGUAUCAAAUUAUUUAUUAAUAAUAAAAGUCUUUUUCUUUAUUAUGUUUGUUUAAUAAAGUCCCUAGAAUAGAUAGUCCGUUUAAUGUAUCAAGUAUGACUUAAUCAUGAGAUCACAUUAAACAUAAGGACACUAUUCUUAAAGUAUCCGUAGUCAAGCUUUAUUGUGAAGUGGGAUAACAUUAAAGCAUGAAGACUAUUAUGUUAGUAGACUGAUGAUCACAUCUCAUGGAUCAUGGAUAAGGAGUUAUCAAGUCUUAAACAUAGGUAUGAAUAUUAAGAGUAAUAUUUAUACCGGAUUGACCCGCUAUGAGAAUACUAUAUAGAAAGUUAUGCAAAGUGUCAUAAGUUAUUCUCAUGGUGAUAAUGGUGUAUACCACUCUUCGACCUGAAACCACUAUGGACCCUAGAUGUAGAGUCGAGUGCUUUAUUGCUGAUCCAACGUUGUCCGUAACUGGAUAACCAUAAAGACAGUUGAUGGGUACUCCACGAAGCAUGCUGAGGGACAUGAGUGACCUAGAUGGAAUUUGCUCAUCCUGCGUAACAGGAUAAAUGUCUAUGGGCCCAAUAUUGAACUGGACAAGGAUGACACGGUCUAUGCCUUGUGUUCAAUAUAGACAUAAGGGUAAAAGGGUAAUUAUACACAUAAUUAUUAUCACAGAAGGACUUGUCAGAUCACAUGACAUUUUCGUGUCUUGGGUAGCAGUGAUGUGUUGCUAGAUACCGCUCACUGUUUAUUAUGUUAAAUACGUGAUUUAAUAUAAUUGCCAACGCCGCGAAAACCUAUAGGGUCACACACUAAGGACGGAUUGAUGAGAGAUAGAGUAAUUAAGGAAUACUGUAAUGUACGGUUACCUUAAGUGAAUUAUAGAACAUCGUAAGGUACGGUGUACUUAAGUAGAAUACGAAAUAUGGUAAGGUACCAUACACUUAAGUGAUUUUGGCAUACUAUGAGAUAUGGGCCAAAUACACUUGAGUGGGCUUUUUAGCUUGCAGCCCACACAAGUGGUUCUAUAAAUAGAACAUUUGUGUAGAAGCAUUGCCAUUCUUGCUUGCAAUUUCGUUUCUCUCUCUCUCACUCAAAGCCUUCAUUCGUGGCAGCUAGCACUGAGAUUGAAGGAAUCCGUUCGUGUGGACUGAGUAGAGACGUUGUCAUAGUUCAACGUUCGUGAUCGCCACAAGAGUAUUUGUUUGCUAAACAGGAAUCUAAGUUAUGGCUUUUGAGGUGGAUAUUGUUACUUCAAGAAUUUGAUCUUGAAAUCUGGGACAAAAAGGGGUGUGAAAACACCAUUGUGAAUCACUUGUCCUGAAUGUCUCUAAUCAAAGAAACAAAAGAGAAACAUCCUAUUCAGGAUGCAUUUGCCGACGAACAUAUCUUGUCCAUUACUGGUUAUACCUCUGGGAUGACCCAUUACUUUACAAGAAGGGGGUCGAUGGUUUAAUCAGAAGAUGUGUUCAGGAAGAGGAGCAGAGAGACAUCCUGGAGGCGUGUCACAACCUAGAGUAUGAAUGACAUUUUAGUGGAGAUAGAACCGCGACAAAAGUUAUCCAAUCAGGACUUUAUUGGCCAACACUUCUCAAGGAUGCAUAUUUUAUGGUGAAGGAGUGCGAUAGGUGUCAACGCACAUGUAAUAUCUCAAGGCGAAAUCAAAUGCCCCAAAACUCUUUAUUAGAAGUAGAAAUCUUUGAUGUGUGGGGCAUAGAUUUCAUGGGACCUUUCGAACUGUCUUUUGGAAAGAAUUACAUCUUGGUUGUAGUGGAUUAUG